rnacentral:rRNA from 1 species
UGCAACGCGAAGAACCUUACCACUUCUUGACAUGGAGAUUAGAUCCUUCUUAACAGAAGGGCGCAGUUCGGCUGGAUCUCGCACAGGUGCUGCAUGGCUGUCGUCAGCUCGUGUCGUGAGAUGUUGGGUUAAGUCCCGCAACGAGCGUAACCCUCAUCCUUAGUUGCCAGCGGGUUAAGCCGGGCACUUUAAGGAGACUGCCAGUGAUAAACUGGAGGAAGGUGGGGAUGAUGUCAAGUCAGCACGGCCCUUAUGGGGUGGGCUACACACGUGCUACAAUGG